rnacentral:rRNA from 1 species
UGGGGAAUUUUGGACAAUGGGGGCAACCCUGAUCCAGCCAUCCCGCGUGUGCGAUGAAGGCCUUCGGGUUGUAAAGCACUUUUGGCAGGGAAGAAACAGCCUGGGAUAAUACCCCCGGGCGACUGACGGUACCUGCAGAAUAAGCACCGGCUAACUACGUGCCAGCAGCCGCGGUAAUACGUGGGUGCAAGCGUUAAUCGGAAUUACUGGGCGUAAAGCGUGCGCAGGCGGUUCGGAAAGAAAGGUGUGAAAUCCCAGGGCUUAACCUUGGAACUGCACUUUUAACUACCGAGCUAGAGUACGUCAGAGGGGGGUAGAAUUCCACGUGUAGCAGUGAAAUGCGUAGAGAUGUGGAGGAAUACCGAUGGCGAAGGCAGCCCCCUGGGAUGAUACUGACGCUCAUGCACGAAAGCGUGGGGAGCAAACAGGAUUAGAUACCCUGGUAGUCCACGCCCUAAACGAUGUCAACUAGCUGUUGGGGUUU